GGGUUAGGGGUAGGGUUAAGGGUUGGGGUAGGGCUAGUGGUUGGGGUAGGGUUAGGGUUAGUGGUUGGAGUAGGAUUAUGGGUAGGGUAACCCUAACCCUACUCCUAACCCUGACCUUGCUCCUAACCCAACCCUACCCCUAACCCUACCAUAACCCUAACCCUACCUCUAACCCUACCCUAGCCCUACUCCUAUCUCUAACCCUACCCUACCCCUACUCCUUAAUUAACCCUACCUACCCUUAACCC